CAUAUAUGGUAAGGGUGUGAAUUCCAAUCCUCCAGAAGGUCUUAUCUUUGUUUAUGUGAUAUCCAAUGAAACAAAAAUUGAGCUGUUGGCCACAAUAACCAGCAAUAUGUUUGGAGGAGAAAAGGUGAGGCCUUUAAUCCAAGGAACACCAGUCCUACCGUCAAGCAUGGUAGUGGUGGUGCUUUUAUACUCUGGGCCUGUUUUGCUGCUAUUGGAACUGGUGCUUUACAGAGAGUAAAUGGGACUAUAAAAAAGGAGGAUUACCUCCAAAUUAUUCAGGACAACCUAAAAUCAUCAGCCUGGAAGUUGGGUCUUGGGCGCAGUUGGGUGUUCUAACAGGACAAUGACCCCAAACACGUCAUACCAUAAAUUGAUUAACGUGGACCCCGACUUACACAAGUUGAAAAACGUAUAGGGGUGUUACCAUUUAGUGGUCAAUUGUACGGAAUAUGUACUGAACUGUGCAAUCUACUAAUAAAAGUUUCAAGUAGGCUAAAUCAGGCUAGAAUUAAGGUUUUAGAAUGAAAAUUCCUAAAGUUCUGACUUAAACGUGUAGACAAUGCUGAAGAAACAAGUCAAUUUCAGAAAACCAACAAAUUUAGCUGAACUGCACCAAUUUUGUCAAGUGGAGUGGUCAAAAAUUCAACCAGAAGCUUGUGGAUGGCUGCCAAAAGUGCCUUAUUGCAGUGAAACUUGCCAAGGGACAUGUAACCAAAUAUUAACAUUGUUGUACAUAUACUUUUGACCCAGCAGAUUCGGUCACAUUUUAAAUUUAUAAAAGAACCAAACUUCAUGAAUGUUUUUUGUGACACAGAAGUAUGUGCUCCAAUCACUCUAUCACAAAAAAAUAAGUGUUGGAUCGAUUUUUUUCCCCCCCUGUUGACAUCAAAUGGGGGAUAAUUUUGAAACGCUUUUUGGAUUCGCAAUUAUGAAGGCAGGCAAGAUUAUUUUAUAAAAUCUCCGCCAUGCCUACAUGGUUAGAUUGGAAAUUUUCGGGACUCAUGAGAUCCCAAAUACACAAAAACGGGAAGAAAUAGGUAAGAAAAGUUGGUUUUGCAAAAUAGGUCCCCUUUACAUAAAUUACACAUUUAAAAACAGCUAUGUACUUAAUAAAACAAAAAUAACACAAAUGCAAUUUUAUAAUUAGAAAAUAUUUAUUUUUAAUGUUUUUUUGCUGAAAACAAAGUUUUAUCCAAAGUCCCAAAGAGGGAUAUUUUAAAACGAAAUUUACACCAAUUGCGUGAUUAAUCUGCUUUGAUACCUGACUAAUGUGACAUUUUAUUGUGAUGAUUCACACAUGUUAGCAAAUAACUGGACUAUCACCCAUCACUGUCAACAGCUGUCACCUUGUAGAUGUCUGAGCCGUCAGGAGAGUCCACGACUACUUGGCUGAGAUCAGACAUCUUUGGUGUGCUGCUCCUCUGUUAGGAAACCAGGAGACGCUCCAUGUGUCCGCCAGGAAAUGUUGCAGAAUUGGUCCAAGUGUAAAGCUUUAGUGGUGAGCAGGUCCUGUAAUGGACAUCCACCAACAUGAUCCACACAGAGACUUGAAAAUGAAGUGUGGAGCAAAGCCGAGUCAGCUGAGAGGACUGAGUCCUGAAGCAGGGGGGCACAGAAAGGAACAAAGUGGAUGCUGAGAAUCUCAGAGAAUCCCUCUGAGAGAGCAGGAGCCACAAAGUGUUUCCUGUUCACGGAGACAGAGAGGAAGAAGUCAAAGGCAUGAUGAGAACAUGAGAAACGAAGAAAAAGCCACUCACUUAUAGCUUUGGAAAAUCAUGUCGUUGACCUUCAUGUGCUUGCUGUCGGACGGCGUCAUCUCACGGAACUGGAGAAGACAAAGCAUUAAAGAAAACGGCAUUGUCAGCAGAACACAUGCAAUGAGUGCCAGAGUGGACAGGAGAGGUGGGUCGUACUCUGUUGUUGUGUUUGGCUUGUUCAAUAGUGGCGGAGAAGAGGAAACAGCGGCAGGUCACGCCCGCUGCUUUGGCAACGUCUAAGUAACUGGAACAGAAAAAGACAGAAAAUGGUGAUCAGUUACCAAUAUAGUAACAAAACAUACACAGUGUUGUGUCCAUCCAUCCAUCCAUCCAUUUUCUACCGUCUAUUUUUCUAAAUAAUAUUGACACACAUUGGCUUUUAUAAAUACAUAUUAUCAAUCAAUAUUGUAAUUAUUCAAUUAACUUCAUCUUUCUCUCUCAGAGCUGCCCUCUGCUGGCAGAAACAGUAGUACCAAGAUUCUGGUGCAGUCUUAGAGCAGUGGUUCUCAACCUUUUUUCAGUGAUGUACCCUCGUGAAAUUUUUUUUAAUUGAAGUACCCCCUAAUCAGAGCAACCUAUUUUUGGUUGAAAAAAAAGAAAUCCAUCCAUCCAUUUCUACCGCUUAUUCCCUUUGGGGUCGCGGGGGGCGCUAGUGCCUAUCUCAGCUACAAUUGGGUGGAAGAAGGAAGUUGUGUGGUGAAUGAGUGACUGAACCUCCUUCCUUUUCAGGUGCCUUCAAUUAGUAAUUUAGCCGCCAUUUUACCUUGGAAUUCUGGGAACUGUAGUUUACAUGAUUUUGACCGUGAAGGGUAGUGGUUCUCAACCUUUUUUCAGUGAUGUACCCCCUGUGAACAUUUUUUAAAUUCAAGUACCCACUAAUCGGAGCAAUUUUUGGUUGGAAAAAAGAUAUAAAGAAGUAAAAUACA